rnacentral:rRNA from 1 species
GCUGGCGACCAUAGCAAGAGUGAACCACCUGAUCCCUUCCCGAACUCAGAAGUGAAACCUCUUAGCGCUGAUGGUAGUGUGGGGUUUCCCAUGUGAGAGUAAGUCAUCGCCAGCUCAUUAUUCGAAACACCCUCAACUCAUGUUGAGGGUGUUUUUUUAUGCCUG